UACGUAGGGUGCAAGCGUUGUCCGGAAUUAUUGGGCGUAAAGAGCUCGUAGGCGGUCUAUCGCGUCUGCUGUGAAAACUCGGGGCUUAACCCCGGGCCUGCAGUGGGUACGGGCAGACUAGAGUGCGGUAGGGGAGACUGGAAUUCCUGGUGUAGCGGUGAAAUGCGCAGAUAUCAGGAAGAACACCCGUGGCGAAGGCGGCUCUCUGGGACGGUACUGACGCUGAGACGCGAAAGCGUGGGGAGCGAACAGG
rnacentral:rRNA from 1 species